rnacentral:lncRNA from 1 species
UUAUUAAUAUUUUUUAUUUAUUUAAAAAAAAAAAAAAAUAACAAUUUCGUAUGUGUUUUAUCUUUAUUCAGUUAAUCGAUUAACCAUUAAAUUACGGACAUAGUUGUAAGUACAACUUUUAUGAAGUAUAUAAAAAUCUAUAACUUCAUAAAAAAAAAUAUAUAUAUAUAUAUAUAUAUUACAACUUAGUACUAACAAAACAAAAUUUAUAACAAUAUAUUGUUAACUGCGUUUCAAUUAAAAUAUUUAUUCCUAAUUUAAACUAAUUUAUACUUUUUUUUAUAUCCUUAAAGAAAAAAAAAAAAAAAAAAAAAUGGUGAGAAAACAGAAAUUUGCAGAUAAGAAAAAAAAUAAUGUACAGAAGGACAAAAUAAAUAAAGAAAAUACUAUAAGAGAUAAAAAAAAGAACAAAAAAUGGAAGAAGGAAAAAAAUAAUCAUUCAAGUUUAGAUAAAAAAACGAAAGAGACAAAGAGAAAACAAAUUGAGAAAAAAUAUAACAACAAUUAUAUAGACAAAAAAGAGAAAGAGUCGUCAUUUUUGAAAAAUCAAGCCCCAAAUGAAUUUACUAAUAAAAAGCAAAAAACAAAAAGGGAUAAUGAUAUUAAAUUCAAACAGAAUAAUAAAUAUAAACCCAAAACGAGUGAUAAACAUAAACUCAAAACGAGUGAUAAACAUAAACCCAAAACGAGUGAUAAAUAUAAACCCAAAACGAGUGAUAAAUAUAGACUUAAAAAAAAUGAUAAAUUUAAAUUUAAAAAGAAUGAUAAAGAUCAAGAAAUAAUAAAUCAGAAAUGUAAAGAUAUUAUGAAAAAUGAAAAUUUAUCCAAUUCUAAAAAAAAAAAACUGAUAAAAGAAUGUAGGAAAAAAUCAGUAGUUGAAAAUUAUGAUUUGUAUAAAGAGUUAAAAAUAAAUUUAAACGAUAUGUUACAAACAAAAAAUAAAUUAGAAAAAGAGAAAAAAAUAAAUGAUAUGUAUGCACAAUUAAAAAAGAUAAAACUUAUAAACUUUUCUCGAACGAAUUUAGGUUUUCACAUUUUAUCUGCUUUAUUUAUUAAUGGAAAUGAAGAAAUGCAAAAAAAAAUAUGGAAGCAGUUCCAUGAGCAUUUGACUGAUAUAUGUGCAUUUAAUUUUGUUUCAAUUUUAAUUCAAAGUUUUUAUAAACAUAGUAAAGGAUUUAAAAUAAAAAAUGAUAUUUAUUUAUGGCUAUUAAAUAAUACAAAAUCAUUUUUAUCGAAAUUUGCUGCAAAGUUAUGGAAUGUAGUUUUUAAAAAUUGUCAAACACAAAAGAGAAGAAAAAUGAUAAAUUACUUACUUAUACCGAAUAUAAAUAUAUUAAAAAAUGUGCCAGUAGAAAAUUUAAAAAAAAAAACAAACGAUAUGGUUAACACGUUUAAUGAAGAAAACAAAUUAGUUAUUAGUAAAUAUUUAAUAAAAAUAAUUGAAAAUAUUGUAGAAAAAGA